rnacentral:lncRNA from 1 species
CCCGGUUGCUAUGGGACCGUUGUUAUGGGCCUGUGAGGAAGCAGGGCAUCAUAGAGACAGGAUGAUGUCACAGAGCCAAGUUGCUCACCUCACAGUAUCGAGGAAGUAGAGAGGAAGGCAGGAAGGGGGCAUAGAAAAGAUACCUUCCAAGGCAUAUUCCUGCCAGUGGCAUCUUUCUCUUUGCUAAGAUCGCCUUUCUUCUUUCAGUAUAGCAAUGGAAACACAAACUAAGACUGAAGUUUGAACCUGAAGUACGGUAUCCAAGGCAACUUCAGCUUUCCAGCUUCUUGUUCCAGUGUCUGGGAUCCACACAUGAUCUUCUGGGCUUCUCCAAAGGGCUUGGGUCAUAUAUCCAGCUCUGCCCUCUGUAGCACCCUAGGCUCUGGUUGACUCCACUCCAUUGCUGAAGCUGUCCAUCAUCUGGAUUUCAGAUAAGAGGUUUUAAGCAGGGUGUGGGGGUGCAUGCUUAUAAAGCCAGUGCUCAGGAAUGAAAGAUGAUUCUCAUGAGUUCAAGGCCAGCUUGGAUAGUUCUAGAUCAGCCUGAGCUAUAAUGUGAGGCCAUAUCUACAAAAAACAAAAAAAUGGGCUGGAGAGAUGUUUCAGUGCCUGAGAGAACUCACUGCUCUGUCAGACGACCAGUUUUCAGUUCUUAGCACCCACACAGCAGAUCACAACUGUUAUUCCAGUUCCAAGAGAUCUGACGCCCUCUUCUGGCCUCUGUAGGCACUGCACACACAUGGUACACCUAUAUGCAGGCAAAACACUCAUAUACACGAUAAAUAAAUUGAUAGAUAAAAGUACAAUGUAAAAACAAGCAAACAGUGGCUGGUGAGAGGGCUCAGUGCUUAAGAGUGCUUACUGCGUUUGUAGAGGUCUGGGAGUUCGGCUCCUGACAUCCAGGUUGUGUGGAUCACAGUUACUUGUAACUUCAGCUCCAGGUGAAUCUAACGCUCUCUUCUGAACUCUCCAGUCAUUGCACUCAGACAUACACAAAGACACACAGACAUAAACAUAUAUCUAACUGAAAAAUAUAUCUAAAAGAAAAAUAUUAUAAAG